CAUGGAUUGAUGUAUGAGACU
rnacentral:sRNA from 1 species